CCAGAGGGCUGGAUGACCGCUGGAGGUGCAAGCCUCUGGAGGAAAGUCCGGGCUCCACUGAAAGCAUGGCGCCGGGUAACGCCCGGCGGGGGCGACCCCAGGGAUAGCGCCACAGAGAACAGACCGCCGCGUUCGCGCGGUAAGGGUGAAACGGUGCGGUAAGAGCGCACCGCGCUCUCGGUAACGAGAGCGGCACGGCAAGCCCCGCCAGGAGCAAGGCCAAAUAGGGACGGCAUUUGGGCUGCUUCAGGCUCGUCGUCCGGGUAGGCUGCGCGAGGCGUCCGGCAACGGGCGUCCCAGAGGAAUGGUCAUCCAAUCCCGGCAACGGGAGGGACAGAACCCGGCUUAUAGGCCCUCUGGCUCA
rnacentral:RNase_P_RNA from 1 species